rnacentral:lncRNA from 1 species
GUACCUCUAGUGGAUGGGGUUAAAGAAAAAUUUGGACGAUUAUGCUCCAAUUACUAGCAGCAGCGAAGCUCAAAAUUUCACAAGUCCCCCAUGGUCCUUAAGAAUUACAAGCGGAUGAAGCAAAACUGUAGUGGUGGUAGUUUUUGUUCGGAGGAUAGUGAAAGUGGUAGUGGACAGGACGGGAUCUAUAUGAAUUAUAUGUUCAAAUUUUGAGAGUUUGAAGGAUGAAGAGUGGUGGUAGUUGGUCUUCGGAGGAUAGAGAAAGUGGUGGUGGUGGACGGGACGGGACGGGACGGGAUCUCUAUGAAUUAUAUGUUCAAGUUAAGUUUUGAGAGUAGGCUGAGAACCAUAUUAAUUCAUGCCUAUGUCUACAAAAAAGUACUACUAUAUGUUACAUAAAGAAGGAUUACAAAGUG